CAAUCCCAACUCGGAUGAGGCUUCUCCCCGUCACACAAGGCGAGAUUCUAAUGUGUUUGUGGAGAUAAAUUACUACAGAUGUCAAAACAGUAACAACAAGAAUUCACUUUAAAUUAUUCAGAUUUCUUCCAAUUACUCAAAAACACCAAAACGAAGCAAAGCUAGAAAUUUAAACCCAAAAAAAUAUGUUUAGCUUGCUUUCUGUGGUGAGUGGUGACUCUUUGGGAAUGUUUUGUGGCAACUUUAGCAACUUUUCAGUGGCGACUUGUUCGGACACAAACGUUUUCCGUGACGAUUGUUUAUGCAACUACUUUGGUCACCACGGAAAACUGUGGCGAAAUUUGAGUUUCCAGGGCGACACUAGUCGCCACAGAUAUUGGUGCUGAUCCUAGCGGCGCCUAGUAGCUUCCUUCUCGGGCCAGUUGUAGUUGGAGAUUUGAGGUAUAGCUGCACGAUGUCCGUAGCCUUGAAGUCCUUUUCCCUUCUAUCUUUACUAUUUUAUUGAGUUUCAAAACUGUUGUACGUUGUUCAGACCUUAUUUGUAGCACUUUAGAUGCUCAUUUAUUCGUGACUCCGGGUUCUGGGAUAUGUUUAGAUUUUGUUGUCCGAUGUUAUAUUACUCUACUUCAGACUUUUACCGUUA